rnacentral:rRNA from 1 species
AGCGAACGCUGGCGGCAGGCCUAACACAUGCAAGUCGAACGAACUCUUCGGAGUUAGUGGCGGACGGGUGAGUAACACGUGGGAACGUGCCUUUUGGUUCGGAAUAACUCAGGGAAACUUGUGCUAAUACCGAAUGUGCCCUUCGGGGGAAGAUUUAUCGCCAUUAGAGCGGCCCGCGUCUGAUUAGCUAGUUGGUGAGGUAACGGCUCACCAAGGCGACGAUCAGUAGCUGGUCUGAGAGGAUGACCAGCCACACUGGGACUGAGACACGGCCCAGACUCCUACGGGAGGCAGCAGUGGGGAAUCUUGCGCAAUGGGCGAAAGCCUGACGCAGCCAUGCCGCGUGAAUGAUGAAGGUCUUAGGAUUGUAAAAUUCUUUCACCGGGGACGAUAAUGACGGUACCCGGAGAAGAAGCCCCGGCUAACUUCGUG